GGAAUCUUCCACAAUGGACGCAAGUCUGAUGGAGCAACGCCGCGUGAGUGAAGAAGGGUUUCGGCUCGUAAAGCUCUGUUGUUAAAAAGAACGUGGGUAAGAGUAACUGUUUACCCAGUGACGGUAUUUAACCAGAAAGCCACGGCUAACUACGUGCCAG
rnacentral:rRNA from 1 species